rnacentral:rRNA from 1 species
GAUGAACGCUGGCGGCGUGCCUAAUACAUGCAAGUCGAGCGAAUGACGAGGAGCUUGCUCCUCUGAUUUAGCGGCGGACGGGUGAGUAACACGUGGGUAACCUGCCUGUAAGACGGGGAUAACUCCGGGAAACCGGAGCUAAUACCGGAUGAUAACGAGAAGCGCCUGCUUCUUUUUUGAAAGUCGGUUUCGGCUGACGCUUACAGAUGGGCCCGCGGGGCAUUAGCUAGUUGGUGAGGUAACGGCUCACCAAGGCGACGAUGCGUAGCCGACCUGAGAGGGUGAUCGGCCACACUGGGACUGAGACACGGCCCAGACUCCUACGGGAGGCAGCAGUAGGGAAUCUUCGGCAAUGGACGAAAGUCUGACCGAGCAACGCCGCGUGAGCGAUGAAGGCCUUCGGGUCGUAAAGCUCUGUUGUCAGAGAAGAACAAGUAUCGGAGUAACUGCCGGUACCUUGACGGUACCUGACCAGAAAGCCACGGCUAACUACGUGCCAGCAGCCGCCGUAACAC